rfam:Myotis davidii contig102906, whole genome shotgun sequence.
GGCAGUUCUUGGGUGACACACCCGGGCUCCCUCCUCUCUGGUUUUGGGGUAUGUUACCCAAGAACUACC